rnacentral:rRNA from 1 species
CGGGUUAACAAAGAAGAGGCAAGACCGCGAGGUGGAGCAAAUCUCAAAAAGCCAUCCCAGUUCGGAUUGCAGGCUGCAACCCGCCUGUAUGAAGUUGGAAUCGCUAGUAAUCGCGGAUCAGCAUGCCGCGGUGAAUACGUUCCCGGGCCUUGUACACACCGCCCGUCACACCAUGAGAGUCGGGAACACCCGAAGUCCGUAGCCUAACCGCAAGGAGGGCGCGGCCGAAGGUGGGUUCGAUAAUUGGGGUGAAGUCGUAACAAGGUAAC